UACGGAGGGUGCAAGCGUUAUCCGGAUUCACUGGGUUUAAAGGGUGCGUAGGUGGGGAGGUAAGUCAGCGGUGAAAUCCCCGAGCUUAACUUGGGAACUGCCAUUGAUACUAUCUCUCUUGAAUACCUUGGAGGUGAGCGGAAUAUGGUCAUGUAGCGGUUAAAUGCUUAGAUAUGACAUAGAACACCAAUUGCGAAGGCAGCUCACUACACGGUCAUUGACACUGAGGCACGGAAAGCGUAGGGAGUCAAAC
rnacentral:rRNA from 1 species